rnacentral:tRNA from 1 species
UCCUUGGUGGUCCAGUGGCUAAGACUCUGAGCUCCCAGUCCAGGGGGCCCAGGUUCGAUCCUUGGUCAGGGAG